AAUUAUCUUCAAUACUAUUGAUUCGUCGAUCGGAAUAUAUUGUUUAUUUAAUUAAUAAAUGACUUUAAAAUUAUGUAAAUAAUAAACCUGUUUUAUGCGGUUAGAAACUACUUAUUAAAUUGGCUGUUUAGCCAAAAAAUGUUAACUAGAAGAAGCAAAAGUGGAUGGCGUGGUGCCAGUAAGAUGGUACCGAUAUAAUUUAGUCUCAAUUAAGUUAGUUGCAGACGAAAAAUAAAACCUGUAAAAAGUUUCUGUCUAUAUUUACUUGUUCAAGUGCCAGUGAAACGAACGAUAGAAAAGAAAAAGCAUUCAGAAGCAUUGCAAUUUUAUUUUUUAUAUGUUUUUAAAUGAUCU